rnacentral:rRNA from 1 species
CCUACGGGUGGCAGCAGUAGGGAAUUUUCGUCAAUGGGCGAAAGCCUGACCGAGCAAUGCCGCGUGAACGAGGAAGGUCUUCGGAUCGUAAAGUUCUGUUGUAGGGGAAGAAGAGUGGACAGAGGAAAUGGCCUACAAAUGAUGUUACUCUUCGAGGAAGUCACGGCUAACUACGUGCCAGCAGCCGCGGUAAUACGUAGGUGGCGAGCGUUAUCCGGAAUGAUUGGGCGUAAAGGGUGCGUAGGCGGCCUGCUAAGUCUGUGGUAAAAGGUACCGGCUCAAACAUUACAGGCUCUGGAAACUGGCGGGCUAGAGGGCAGAAGAGGGCGGUGGAAUUCCAUGUGUAGCGGUAAAAUGCGUAGAUAUAUGGAAGAACACCAGUGGCGAAGGCGGCCGCCUGGCCUGUUACUGACGCUGAGUCACGAAAGCGUGGGGAGCAAAUAGGAUUAGAUACCCCUGUAGUC